GGCCUUGUCGUCUAGUCUGGUCUAGGACGUCGGGUUUUCAUCCCGAAAAUCACGGGUUCAAAUCCCGUCGAGGCCGCCU
rnacentral:tRNA from 1 species